rnacentral:rRNA from 1 species
AAUGAACGUUGGCGGCGUGGAUUAGGCAUGCAAGUCGUGCGCGAAUGAUCUGGUGCUUGCAUUGGAUCAGGAAAGCGGCGAAAGGGAGAGUAACGCGUGGAUACCUACCCCUGGAUCCGGGAUAGCUGCGGGAAACUGCGGAUAAUACCGGAUGAUGUCUCUGGACCAAAGGUGUGAUUCCGUCCGGGGAUGGGUCCGCGUCCUAUUAGCUAGUUGGUGGGGUAAUGGCCUACCAAGGCAACGAUGGGUAGCGGGUGUGAGAGCAUGACCCGUCUCACUGGGACUGAGACACUGCCCAGACACCUACGGGU